GCCAUUAGGGUGUUACACACUAAUUUUUCAAGUUAGAGAUCCCUCUUAUUGGGGGUGGUGGUA
rnacentral:tRNA from 1 species